UGGAUGUACUGGACAAACACCUC
rnacentral:piRNA from 1 species